rnacentral:tRNA from 1 species
GAUCUUAGCUCAGCUGGGAGAGCAUCUGCCUUACAAGCAGAGGGUCACAGGUUCGAGCCCUGUAGGUCCCA